rnacentral:rRNA from 1 species
GGGUGAGUAACACGUGGGUAACCUACCCAUCAGAGGGGGAUAACACUUGGAAACAGGUGCUAAUACCGCAUAACAGUUUAUGCCGCAGGGCAUAAAAGUGAAAGGCGCUUUCGGGUGUCGCUGAUGGAUGGACCCGCGGUGCAUUAGCUAGUUGGUGAGGUAACGGCUCACCAAGGCCACGAUGCAUAGCCGACCUGAGAGGGUGAUCGGCCACACUGGGACUGAGACACGGCCCAAACUCCUACGGGAGGCAGCAGUAGGGAAUCUUCGGCAAUGGACGAAAGUCUGACCGAGCAACGCCGCGUGAGUGAAGAAGGUUUUCGGAUCGUAAAACUCUGUUGUUAGAGAAAAACAAGGACGUUAGUAACUGAACGUCCCCUGACGGUAUCUAACCAGAAAGCCACGGCUAACUACGUGCCAGCAGCCGCGGUAAUACGUAGGUGGCAAGCGUUGUCCGGAUUUAUUGGGCGUAAAGCGAGCGCAGGCGGUUUCUUAAGUCUGAUGUGAAAGCCCCCGGCUCAACCGGGGAGGGUCAUUGGAAACUGGGAGACUUGAGUGCAGAAGAGGAGAGUGGAAUUCCAUGUGUAGCGGUGAAAUGCGUAGAUAUAUGGAGGAACACCAGUGGCGAAGGCGGCUCUCUGGUCUGUAACUGACGCUGAGGCU